CAGAGGCCCCAAGCGUUACUGAGAAUCACUGGGUUUAAAGGGUGCGUAGGUGGCGCGUUAAGUCCGUUGUGAAAGCCCUGGGCUCAACCCAGGAACUGCUUCGGAUACUGGCGCGCUUGAGGCUAGUAGGGGUCACUGGAACUGACGGUGGAGCGGUGAAAUGCGUAGAUAUCGUCAGGAACGCCAAUGGUGAAGACAGGUGACUGGGCUAGUUCUGACACUGAGGCACGAAAGCGUGGGGAGCGAACGGGAUUAGAUACCCCGGUAGUCCACGCCCUAAACGAUGCAGACUAGACUGCAGCGGGUUACACCCCGUUGCGGUCGGAGUGAAAUUGUUAAGUCUGCCACCUGGGAAGUACGGUCGCAAGGCUA
rnacentral:rRNA from 1 species